ACGCUCGACACCUACGAGAGGCAGCGGUAGGGAAUCUUCCACAAUGGACGCAAGUCUGAUGGAGCAACGCCGCGUGAGUGAAGAAGGUCUUCGGAUCGUAAAACUCUGUUGUUAGAGAAGAACACGAGUGAGAGUAACUGUUCAUUCGAUGACGGUAUCUAACCAGCAAGUCACGGCUAACUACGUGCCAGCAGCCUGGUAGUAUGNGCGGCGNGNGAGAG
rnacentral:rRNA from 1 species